rnacentral:rRNA from 1 species
UGGGGAAUUGUUCGCAAUGGGCGCAAGCCUGACGACGCAACGCCGCGUGGAGGAUGAAGACCUUCGGGUCGUAAACUCCUUUCGACCAAGAUGAACACCCGCCGAUUGAAUACAUUGGCGGACUGACAGUAUUGGGAGAAGAAGCCCCGGCUAACUCCGUGCCAGCAGCCGCGGUAAUACGGGGGGGGCAAGCGUUGUUCGGAAUUACUGGGCGUAAAGGGUUCGUAGGUGGCCAACUAAGUCAGACGUGAAAUCCCUCAGCUUAACUGGGGAACUGCGUCUGAUACUGAUUGGCUUGAGUGCAGGAGAGGAAUGCGGAAUUCCAGGUGUAGCGGUGAAAUGCGUAGAUAUCUGGAGGAACACCGGUGGCGAAGGCGGCAUUCUGGACUGCAACUGACACUGAAGAACGAAAGCCAGGGGAGCAAACGG